UACGUAGGGGGGCUAGCGUUUGUCCGGAAUCAUUGGGCGUAAAGCGCGCGUAGGCGGCCAGAUAAGUCCGGUGUGAAAGUCACAGGCUCAACCUGUGAAUGCCGAUGGAAACUGUUUGGCUAGAGUCCGGAAGAGGAGAACGGAAUUCCUGGUGUAGCGGUGAAAAUGCGCAGAUAUCAGGAGGAACACCGGUGGCGAAGGCGGUCUCUGGGCAUUACCUGACGUGGAGGAGCGGAAAGUGUGGGG
rnacentral:rRNA from 1 species